GAUGAACGCUGGCGGCGUGCCUAAUACAUGCAAGUCGAGCGAACGGACGAGAAGCUUGCUUCUCCGAUGUUAGCGGCGGACGGGUGAGUAACACGUGGAUAACCUACCUAUAAGACUGGGAUAACUUCGGGAAACCGGAGCUAAUACCGGAUGAUAUUUUGAACCGCAUAGUUCAAAAGUGAAAGACGGUCUUGCUGUCACUUAUAGAUGGAUCCGCGCUGCAUUAGCUAGUUGGUAAGGUAACGGCUUACCAAGGCAACGAUGCAUAGCCGACCUGAGAGGGUGAUCGGCCACACUGGAACUGAGACACGGUCCAGACUCCUACGGGAGGCAGCAGUAGGGAAUCUUCCGCAAUGGGCGAAAGCCUGACGGAGCAACGCCGCGUGAGUGAUGAAGGUCUUCGGAUCGUAAAACUCUGUUAUUAGGGAAGAACAUAUGUGUAAGUAACUGUGCACAUCUUGACGGUACCUAAUCAGAAAGCCACGGCUAACUACGUG
rnacentral:rRNA from 1 species